UACAGAGGGUGCGAGCGUUGUCCGGAAUCACUGGGCGUAAAGGGCGCGUAGGUGGCGAGCCAAGUCCAUGGUGAAAGCUCGAUGCUCAACAUCGAGUCGGCCACGGAUACUGGUGCGCUUGAGCACUGUAGAGGCUAAUGGAAUUCCGGGUGUAGCGGUGGAAUGCGUAGAGAUCCGGAAGGACACCGGUGGCGAAGGCGGUUAGCUGGGCAGUUGCUGACACUGAGGCGCGACAGCGUGGGGAGCAAACAGG
rnacentral:rRNA from 1 species